CCUACGGUGGGCAGCAGUAGGGAAUUUUCGUCAAUGGGCGCAAGCCUGAACGAGCAAUGCCGCGUGAACGAGGAAGGUCUUCGGAUCGUAAAGUUCUGUUGACGGGGAAAAAGAGCGGAGAGAGGAAAUGCUUUCUGAUUGAUAUUACCCUUCGAGGAAGUCACGGCUAACUCCGUGCCAGCAGCCGCGGUAAUACGGAGGAUGCGAGCGUUAUCCGGAUUUAUUGGGUUUAAAGGGUGCGCAGGCGGAUUUUUAAGUCAGCGGUCAAAUCGUGGGGCUCAACCCCAUCCAGCCGUUGAAACUGGGGAGCUAGAGUGUGCGAGAGGUAUGCGGAAUUCCUGGUGUAGCGGUGAAAUGCGUAGAUAUCAGGAGGAACACCGGUGGCGAAGGCGGCCUGCUGGACUGCAACUGACGUUGAGGCCCGAAAGCGUGGGGAGCAAACAGGAUUAGAUACCCUUGUAGUC
rnacentral:rRNA from 1 species